rnacentral:rRNA from 1 species
ACCCGUUGAUCCUGCGGGAGGUUGCGGCUAUUAGGAUUCGACUAAGCCAUGCAAGUCAAGGGGGUUUUCGGACCACCGGCGGAAGGCUCGGUAACACGUCGAUAAUCUGCCCUAUGGUCUGGGAUAGCCUUGGGAAACUGAGGGUAAUAUCAGAUAGAGGAUUAUGUCUGGAAUGACUUUUUCUCGAAAUGUAAUGCCAUAGGAUGAGACGGCGGCUGAUUAGGUUGUUGGUGAGGUAACGGCUCACCAAGCCUUUGAUCAGUAGGGGCCCUGAGAGGGGGAGCCCCGAGAAGGGCACUGAGAUACUGGCCCUAGCCCCACGGGGUGCAGCAGGCGCGAAACCUUUACAAUGCACGAAAGUGUGAUAAGGGAAUCCUAAGUGCUUAUACAAUGUAUAGGCUUUUUUUGAGAUUAAAUAUCUUGAAGAAUAAGUGGUGGGUAAGACUGGUGCCAGCCGCCGCGGUAACACCAGCGCCACGAGUCGCAACCACUUUUAUUGGGCCUAAAGCGUCCGUAGCCGGUCUUGUAAAUCUCUUGUGAAAUCAUCCAGCUUAACUGGAUGGCGUGCAGGAGACACUGCUGGACUUGGAACCGGGAGGAGUCAGAGGAAUUCUAGGGGGAGCGGUAAAAUGUUAUAAUCCCUAGAGGACCACCUGUGGCGAAGGCGUCUGACUAGAACGGAUUCGACGGUGAGGGACGAAAGCUAGGGGAGCAAACCGGAUUAGAUACCCGAGUAGUCCUAGCAGUAAACGCUGCGAGCUAGGUGUUGCGCAUUCUUUAUGUGUGCGCAGUGUCGGAGCGAAGGUGUUAAGCUCGCCGCCUGGGAAGUAUGGUCGCAAGACUGAAACUUAAAGGAAUUGGCGGGGGAGCACCACAAGGGGUGCGGCGUGCGGUUUAAUCUAAUUCAACGCAGAGAAUCUCACCAGAUGCGACGGCAGGAUGAAAGUCAGUCUAAAGGGCUUACUUGACGAGCCGAGAGGUAGUGCAUGGCCGCCGUCAGCUCGUGCCGUAAGGUGUCCUGUUAAGUCAGGCAACGAGCGAGACCUGUGCCUAUAAUUGCUAACGGCUUCUUCGGGAGGACUGAGCACAUUAUGGGAACUGCCUGUGAAAACAGGAGGAAGGUGCAGGCCACGGUAGGUCUGUAUGCUCCGAAUCUUCUGGGCUACACGCGCGCAACAAUGGUAUGGACAAUGGGAUGCGACUCCGAGAGGAGAAGCCAAUCCUCGAAACCAUAUCCUAGUCCAGAUUGAGGGCUGCAACCCGCCCUCAUGACAAUGGAAUCCCUAGUAAUCGGACCUCAUCACAGUCCGGUGAAUAUGUCCCUGCUCCUUGCACACACCGCCCGUCAAACCAACCGAGCAGGGUUUAGGUGAGGCACAAUCCUCGUGAUUAUGUCGAAUCUAAGCUCAGUGAGGUGGGUUAAGUCGUCACAAGGUA